CCUACGGGUGGCAGCAGUAGGGAAUUUUCCUCAAUGGGCGCAAGCCUGAACGAGCGAUGCCGCGUGCAUGAAGAAGGCCUUCGGGUCGUAAAGCUCUGUUACGGGGGAAGAAAAGCAGCAUCAGGAAAUGGUUGCUGACUGAUGGUACCCCGCCAGAAAGUCACGGCUAACUACGUGCCAGCAGCCGCGGUAAUACAGAGGUUGCAAGCGUUAAUCGGAAUUACUGGGGGUAAAGCGCUCGUAGGCGGUUUGUCAAGUCAAGGGGUAAAUCCCCGCGGUCAACGUGGGAACCGCCUUGGAUACUGGCAAACUGGAGUGUGUGAGAGGAGAGCGGAAUUCCAGGUGUAGGAGUGAAAUCCGUAGAUAUAUGGAGGAACACCAGGGGCGAAGGCGACUAUCUGGCACAUAACUGACGCUGAGGAGCGAAAGCGUGGGUAGCAAACAGGAUUAGAUACCCCGGUAGUC
rnacentral:rRNA from 1 species